GAUGAACGCUGGCGGCGUGCUUAACACAUGCAAGUCGAACGGGAAUUACUUUAUUGAAACUUCGGUCGAUUUAAAUUAAUUCUAGUGGCGGACGGGUGAGUAACGCGUGGGUAACCUGCCUUGUACAGGGGGAUAACAGUCAGAAAUGGCUGCUAAUACCGCAUAAGCGCACAGGACCGCAUGGUCCGGUGUGAAAAACUCCGGUGGUAUAAGAUGGACCCGCGUUGGAUUAGCUUGUUGGCAGGGUAACGGCCUACCAAGGCGACGAUCCAUAGCCGGCCUGAGAGGGUGAACGGCCACAUUGGGACUGAGACACGGCCCAGACUCCUACGGGAGGCAGCAGUGGGGAAUAUUGCACAAUGGGGGAAACCCUGAUGCAGCGACGCCGCGUGAAGGAAGAAGUAUCUCGGUAUGUAAACUUCUAUCAGCAGGGAAGAGAUUGACGGUACCUGACUAAGAAGCCCCG
rnacentral:rRNA from 1 species